rnacentral:rRNA from 1 species
UACGUAGGGGGCUAGCGUUGCCCGGAAUCAUUGGGCGUAAAGCGCGUGUAGGCGGCUCGGUAAGUCCGCUGUGAAAGUCGGGGGCUCAACCCUCGAAUGCCGGUGGAUACUGUCGGGCUAGAGUGCGGAAGAGGCGAGUGGAAUUCCUGGUGUAGCGGUGAAAUGCGCAGAUAUCAGGAGGAACACCAAUUGCGAAGGCAGCUCGCUGGGACGUAACUGACGCUGAGACGCGAAAGCGUGGGGAGCAAACAGG